rnacentral:pre_miRNA from 1 species
AAAAAGACAAACCCUAGUUUCCGUGUUCAACAUUUGACCGUCCGUCUUAUUUAAAAAAAUUAUGAAAAAAAUUAAAAAGACAAGUCACGCAUAAAAUAUUAUCAUGUUUUAUCAUCUAGCAACAAUGAAAAUACGAAUUACAAAAAAUUUUCAUAUAAGACGGACAAUCAAAGUUGGACACGGAAACCCAUGGUUUAUCUUUUU